AGAGCGAACGCUGGCGGCAGGCCUAACACAUGCAAGUCGAGCGCCCGUAGCAAUACGGGAGCGGCAGACGGGAUAGUAACACGUGGGAACGCGCCCUUCGGUUCGGAAUAACUCAGGGAAACUUGAGCUAAUACCGGAUACGCCCUUACGGGGAAAGAUUUAUUGCCGAAGGAACGGCCCGCGUCCGAUUAGCUAGUUGGUGAGGUAAUGGCUCACCAAGGCGACGAUCGGUAGCUGGUCUGAGAGGAUGACCAGCAUCACUGGGACUGAGACACGGCCCAGACUCCUACGGGAGGCAGCAGUGGGGAAUAUGGGCAAUGGGCGCAAGCCUGAUCCAGCCAUGCCGCGUGGAUGAUGAAGGCCUUAGGGUUGUAAAGUCCUUUUAACGGGGAAGAUAAUGACGGUACCCGUAGAAUAAGCCCCGGCUAACUUCGUGCCAGCAGCCGC
rnacentral:rRNA from 1 species